GUGGCAUCGACGCGCUGGCUUUGUGCAUCUAUUGCUUUUACCUGUCGGGUUUAUGCAGCAGGCACAGAGUCUUAUUGUGAACUGUCGCAUUCUUGCGCGUGCAGUUUCGGCAAGCGCUAUCGAUGGAUUGCAGUCAGUUGCAGGCCGGUCGCUGGAGUAUCUAGACGUAUUUCCCGCGACGCGUAUCAUGUGAUCGGUCUUCUAUUUUCUAAAUUUCCAUUUCGAGUAUGUUCGGUCAUCAAUCGACUUAGUUGUAACAUGCAUCUGCAGUGUUAUGUUAGUGAUUAAUUGUGCGUUCAUGUUCAUAAAAGUUUUUUUUGCUCGGUUUUGAUGUUCAUUUUUCAAAUUACAAGAUUGCUGGUUUUAUGGUCGGUUACCGUGUGACUUUGUCGGUCAAUCGGAUACAUUCCUGCCAUGUUGUUUUUCGUCAUUAGGCGGUCCUUUCGUGCUUGAUACUUUCUGAGCAUUGGGGUCCUUUGAACAAUGUAUUGUUCUCGGGAGCGCCGUCUUAAGAACAGCAGAACUGUUUUUAAAGAUGGGCUGUUAAAUUGAUUUUCUAAUUCUUGUCUACUUUGCCGUGAGAAGCAGUACCAAGGUAUAUGUGGAAGCGACCUAUUAAUCUGCACAGGCCUAUCGCGUUCAUGACGAUAAACGUCUUUUGGUUUCCUCAGAACGCACUAGGAUUUUCGGACUUGUUUCAAAUUGUAAGUGAUAGAAUUUAAUGUUUUCCUAAUUUUUUUACACAGAUUAUGGUGCCGGACAAAAUGAUUUCUUGCCCUGUAUUGGAGAGAGUUUUGUUGAAAAUAUAACAAGUCUAACAAAAAAGCAUCUCUAAGUUUCCUUACAACGUGUUCUCGGGACACUUAAGUAAUGUCGUCUUCUAGUAUUAUUCAUGUGGAACUUAGAAGUUUAUUUUAAUGGCUAAAUCGUCUGU